GCCCCGGUAGCUCAGUGGAUAGAGCAGCCGCCUCCUAAGCGGCAGGUCGGACGUUCAAUUCGUCUCCGGGGCACCA
rnacentral:tRNA from 2 species